UCAAUGAAGUCUCUAGUUGAGAAACCAUAUCCUAGACUUUCAUCACAAGUCCAUAUGUUCAGGAGGGUUUUGCUUCUCCCUUAGGUUCAAAGCCACACAAUCUUCCCUUGGAUGGUUUUGAAGCUAACCAUAUAAAACUGGGGUUGAACAGUGUGAGACUAAAGCCAAAAUGUUCCACAAUGUGGAGCGGAUACUCAAUGUAGGAAGAUAAUCUUGGUUGCAAUGAUCCUGAUCAAAAGGUAUGCUCAUGGAUAAAGGGGUUUGUUCCUCUAUAAAGUCUUUUAGGUGUACCAAUAUCAUUUCCAAAAUAACCAGUUUGUAAGGCUAUAAUGUCUGAGCUUAGUUAAAUUUUCUCCUAAGUAUGCAAGUAUGCAAGUAUGCAAAUUAUUUCUUGCACUACUUAUAACAGGGCCCUGGUGCAUCCAGUAGUAACAGAAGUGUUUACAAACUAUAGAUGUUCGUUCAGGGUACCUAAAAGUGAGAAUCUGAAAUGGAU
rnacentral:lncRNA from 1 species